UCUCUGGUAGUAUAUCGGUUAGUACACGCGCCUGUCAUUUAAGGGUGUAUUCGCCAACGCGCGAAAGCUGGGUUCGACUCCCAGCCAGAGAG